ensembl:lncRNA
GGACACUCUGAGCAGUCAGCAGCCCUCUCCUAACAGUACUGGCACCCGAUCUCCCGCUACCAGUCUCCAGAACCUAGUGAAGGAAAUUUCUGUGGUUAUAAGCCACUUAGUCUACAGGGUUUUUGUUAGAGCAGCCCCAACGAACUAAGACAACUUGCUUAUCCUUUCGCCUUAUUUCUCAAUUGGUUGAGAACUCUGGCAGGGAAGGGGCCGUCUUUUGGACCUUCCCAAAAAGCCCAACACGGGGAGGCUUCUUUGAAUGAGGUAUAAUGUCCGGUUAAUAAGCGAGAGCAAUAAUUCAGCACUGGGGACGUGUUUUCUCUCUUCCAUUCACUUAUUCAUCCCACAUUGACGUGCUAAGCACCCACUACAUGCCUGGCACUUCGCUAGGUACCCGUCAAGUAAGGAUGAGCCAUUGACAGUGGGAGCAAAGGGCCUGAUCAAAACUGAACGGAGUUCUCACGUCCGACCUUCCUCCAGGAGAUUGAACAAGAAGGGGGUAGAGUAAGUGUCAACUGUUUUUGGAGAGCUUGACAGCCAUCUCCCAUUGCUUGGGUUGCAGCACCCUGGUUUUCCUCUAGGGGAUGAGCCGCUUCAUUGUAAGCCACUCUGGUGGGACCGUUGGUCAAGGCACCUGCCCUCCCCUGGCUGAGGGACGAGUCCAUGGUCAAGGUUAUCAUCAAACUCUAGAUGCGGGGAUGGGGAAUCUUCCCCAGAGUGGUGUGGGGCAAAAAACACGCCACAGCUCCCCCAUUCCAGAAGAAAGUCCUUGAAGAAGUCUUGCUCCCUAGACACUAGACACAUGGGACUGCUCGAGUUCUUCCCCCUUCCCUCCCUCUCUGCUUCUCUCUUCCACGCAGAGUUCCCGAUCCCCCAGCUGCGCUCAACAUCAGCCUGUUGCAUGUUUUUCAACAUAAAUCAGCCAGAGUUGGUUGCCUUUGCGAGAGAAAAUACCAUCACGACUGGCGGCACAUGGACUGGUGAGGGGCUAAGGUGGAGUGUGGGUGACGUCGCGGCGGCCUGCAGUCACCUCUCGCCCAGACCGUCCUUACCUCUGCGAGUCAGGCCCACAAACCACAGGACAGGGUCCGGAUGCAAACCCCACUCCCUUCCACCCGGCCCCAUCCAUCCCCCAUGGGGUUCAUUUUCCCCAUCCAACCCGGCAGAUGGGACUUCCCAAGGCAUCCCUGUCACUGUAUAUUCGUUGCAGUGUUCAUUUUCAUGUUUUCAGGAAAAUAUAGCCAACUUCAUUCAAAUUUUCUCUCUCUCUCUCUCCAUCUCACUAUUCCAGUGAUUAUUUCUUUUGGAAAUAAUUCCCCUGCCGCUCUGCCUCCGCAGACCUCCAAAUCCUGGCAGAAGGAACGAGGCUCCCGAGGAGUGCACAGCCUGGACAGACGAACCAGGGCCGCAGAGCCACCGCUGGCAAGACACGGUCACACCUGCAGAGCAAAAGCCUCGUCUUUCUCAUCUAUUUUUACUUCUCAGGAGACCCUGGUCCCUCGAGAACUGUUUUCACCUCCUCGGCUCUGCAUACGUGUUUUGCACAUGAUAUGAAAUAGUAACCUUUUGAGUUUCCCACAUCCUGGUAUGCUCUGGACCCACUGGCCACAUUUUUAUACACACACACACCCCACACCCCAGUCUAUGCUAGCUGACUGGCUGGCAAAAGAUAAUAACGUUUAGUGGAGGUCUCUCUCCUUUUUUUUUUUUUUUU